rnacentral:rRNA from 1 species
AGUCGAGGGGCAGCGAGAUCAGUGCUUGCACUGAUUGUCGGCGACCGGCGCACGGGUGCGUAACGCGUAUGCAACCUACCCAUUACAGGGGGAUAACACUGAGAAAUCGGUACUAAUACCCCAUAACAUCCAGGGAGGCAUCUUCUUGGGUUGAAAACUCCGGUGGUAAUGGAUGGGCAUGCGUUGUAUUAGUUAGUUGGUGGGGUAACGGCUCACCAAGACGACGAUACAUAGGGGGACUGAGAGGUUAACCCCCCACAUUGGUACUGAGACACGGACCAAACUCCUACGGGAGGCAGCAGUGAGGAAUAUUGGUCAAUGGACGCAAGUCUGAACCAGCCAUGCCGCGUGCAGGAAGACGGCUCUAUGAGUUGUAAACUGCUUUUGUACGAGGGUAAACGCAGAUACGUGUAUCUGUCUGAAAGUAUCGUACGAAUAAGGAUCGGCUAACUCCGUGCCAGCAGCCGCGGUAAUACGGAGGAUUCAAGCGUUAUCCGGAUUUAUUGGGUUUAAAGGGUGCGUAGGCGGUCGGAUAAGUUAGAGGUGAAAUCCCGGGGCUCAACUUCGGAAUUGCCUCUGAUACUGUUCGGCUAGAGAGUAGUUGCGGUAGGCGGAAUGUAUGGUGUAGCGGUGAAAUGCUUAGAGAUCAUACAGAACACCGAUUGCGAAGGCAGCUUACCAAGCUACUUCUGACGUUGAGGCACGAAAGCGUGGGGAGCAAACAGGAUUAGAUACCCUGGUAGUCCACGCAGUAAACGAUGAUAACUCGUUGUCGGCGAUACAAUGUCGGUGACUAAGCGAAAGCGAUAAGUUAUCCACCUGGGGAGUACGUUCGCAAGAAUGAAACUCAAAGGAAUUGACGGGGGCCCGCACAAGCGGAGGAACAUGUGGUUUAAU